UGGUAUGCCUUUCAAGUUAGAUGUGGAAU
rnacentral:piRNA from 1 species